rnacentral:rRNA from 1 species
UCCUACGGGACGCAGCAGUGAGGGAUAUUGGUCAAUGGGGGAAACCCUGAACCAGCAACGCCGCGUGAGGGAAGACGGUUUUCUGAUUGUAAACCUCUGUCCUCUGUGAAGAUAAUGACGGUAGCAGAGGAGGAAGCUCCGGCUAACUACGUGCCAGCAGCCGCGGUAAUACGUAGGGAGCAAGCGUUGUCCGGAUUUACUGGGUGUAAAGGGUGCGUAGGCGGCCUUGCAAGUCAGAAGUGAAAUCCAUGGGCUUAACCCGUGAACUGCUUUUGAAACUGUAGGGCUUGAUGGAAGUAAAGGCA